GAAUAUUGUGUGUGUGUGUGUGUGUGUGUGUGUGUGUGCGCGCACACACACACACACACACACACACACUUUGGUCAU